rnacentral:rRNA from 1 species
GUAACGCGUGGGAAUCUACCCUUGACUACGGAAUAACGCAGGGAAACUUGUGCUAAUACCGUAUGUGUCCUUCGGGAGAAAGAUUUAUCGGUCAAGGAUGAGCCCGCGUUGGAUUAGCUAGUUGGUGGGGUAAAGGCCUACCAAGGCGACGAUCCAUAGCUGGUCUGAGAGGAUGAUCAGCCACAUUGGGACUGAGACACGGCCCAAACUCCUACGGGAGGCAGCAGUGGGGAAUAUUGGACAAUGGGCGCAAGCCUGAUCCAGCCAUGCCGCGUGAGUGAUGAAGGCCCUAGGGUUGUAAAGCUCUUUCACCGGAGAAGAUAAUGACGGUAUCCGGAGAAGAAGCCCCGGCUAACUUCGUGCCAGCAGCCGCGGUAAUACGAAGGGGGCUAGCGUUGUUCGGAAUUACUGGGCGUAAAGCGCACGUAGGCGGAUCGAUCAGUCAGGGGUGAAAUCCCAGGGCUCAACCCUGGAACUGCCUUUGAUACUGUCGAUCUGGAGUAUGGAAGAGGUGAGUGGAAUUCCGAGUGUAGAGGUGAAAUUCGUAGAUAUUCGGAGGAACACCAGUGGCGAAGGCGGCUCACUGGUCCAUUACUGACGCUGAGGUGCGAAAGCGUGGGGAGCAAACAGGAUUAGAUACC